rnacentral:lncRNA from 1 species
UGCAUAUAGAUGAGUUCUCACCUACCCAUUUUGCUCUCGAUGGUGCUUCUGUAGUUCAGCUUGAGUGUGUGAGAGAGAUUAGUUGAUGUUGUUAUCCUUGUUUUUUCUGAGAGAGAUUAGCUCGCCCCUCCUCCAUCGAUGGCCUACACCGUCCGCUAGAACCCGUCCAGGUGCUGGCCGUCAUCCUCUACCUUCAAUUACGGGUCAGCAACAACGUUGCGAAUAGAAAGGUCAGCAUCUGGCCCUCUAGAAGUUCAGUUUGUUGAUUUUCUGAAGUUUUUAAAUUGGACUAUAACCGUGUAUAUUUUGCAGGGCCCUGUGAAGUUCAAUUUGUUUUGCUUUCCGAAGUUUAGUUUGUUGAUUUUCUGAAGUUUGGAUUGUUAAUUUUUUGAAGAGAAAGGUUGAUUCACUUGCACUCCUCUAUCUAGUCCUCUGUGGUGAUAUCCUCGACUCCUCGGUUCGGAGCUAGCAGCGGUUCUUCAACUUCCCUGCUGUGUUGUCGCGAUUGUUGGUAAAUAAUUUGUUCUACUAUUUCCUUGUAGUAAUGCUGGAUGGGUUCCCCCUUGUUGUGGAACCAUAAUAAUAUAAGUUUGUCUCUGCGCUCCUGUUCCUGUGAUUACAAUAGCAGAGAAAAGUACCAAGGGUCAGAACCAAACCAGAGUGAACCAUACGAAUCAGAACAUGGUCAUUUGGAACCAACUCUAAUCAUUUGUUCAUCUAACUGCAGUAGAGACAAAUUUUAUACUUUGUUCAUCUACGGUGCCAAGUUGAGCGGACACCGUAGCGCUCGAGAAGAUGGGGAGAGGGUGUGUGGUGAAGAGAAAACAUAGGGUUUCAAAUUGUCCAUUGGUGGUAGCAUCUAAUCAUUUUACCAAAGUGUAAUGGACAUGUGUAUGUAUGUACAGUAGCAUAUUUUACUCAAACCGAGUUAUUUUUUUAAUGCACGAAGUUUGUCCAGCCAAAAAAACAUGUAUUAAACUGGUUUUUGUGUAUUUUUCUAACCUUUUCUACACCUUUCUAC